rnacentral:rRNA from 1 species
UACGUAGGGGGCAAGCGUUAUCCGGAAUUACUGGGUGUAAAGGGAGCGUAGACGGUAAUGUGAGUCUGGAGUGAAAGGCGGGGGCCCAACCCCCGGACUGCUCUGGAAACUAUGUUACUAGAGUGCAGGAGAGGUAAGCGGAAUUCCUAGUGUAGCGGUGAAAUGCGUAGAUAUUAGGAGGAACACCAGUGGCGAAGGCGGCUUACUGGACUGUAACUGACGUUGAGGCUCGAAAGCGUGGGGAGCAAACAGG